UAUUAAACCAACUGUACCAAGGCUGUGAGAUGCACACAGGCAUUAGGAACAAAUGACACAGAGCACUCACCUCGUGUGCAGCAGCAGGACACCAGGAAUCUCCGGGAGCAUCGUCUGCCAGGGAGCGUGUGUGUCCCGGGAGGGUUGAUGAGCUGCCCCUUGCAUCCCACAAGCCAAGGUGAGGAGGGAUGAGGUGAGGGGAUAUUCCAUCUUGAAGAUGUUACAGAUCCACAGUGACCUCCCGUGCGGCUGACAGACCAUUUGCAGCCCAUGUCUGAAACACGAUGAUACGCAAAUGAGAGAGCGACCGUGGCACCAUCAUGCCAUAAACGUGCAAGGGUGUGGGAAAAGCUGGGCACUGUCUCCUGGAAGCAGCAAACAAAAACCCACAACAGCAACAGAUGCAGGACCUGAUGCCCUACCUGGGAGCACUGUGACAAAUAUUGCUUUCUGUCUGACUGCUCCUCUUCCUUGCUGCAUGCUUCCAUUUCUGGGGAUGAGUUAGACAACUUGCAGCCGUGGCUAAUCUGGGCACACUGUGGUCCCGGCUCCAAUGGGUUUUGUGCACUGUGCAGAUGAGCUGGAGGAUGGAAUGGAUUGCAGAGCCAUUCCUGUGGCCACAGCAACAGGAUUCUCAGUGUUUGGCUCCCAUGUGCCACGCAUGGGAGCAGGACCUCUGAUCAGGGAUGUCAAGAAGGGGUGGGGCUGGGUCAGCCUGGCAGGAAGCAAGAUGAUGCCCGUGACACUUGGCUAGAAGAUGCCUUUAAAUCCAAUGUAGGUUGCUGCCUAGUGGGCUCAGCUCUGGGCUGAGCCCUGCAGGCUCAGAAGGGAUGGCAGCAUCUCACUGAGCUAUCUCUGCAGCCUCUGCUUUGAUAUGGCUCCCCCUUUCCUGGUCCACCUUCUUAAGCAGUUGCAGUGAGUCACAUACUUUCCUUACUAACUCACCAACCAGUGCUGCUGGCUCAGGUAAUGUCAGGAACAAGGUGAACUU
rnacentral:lncRNA from 1 species